UUACGUCGGAACUACGUCGAGUAUGGAGCUUGUUGAGGGGUUGAACGUUCUCGUUUUUAUUAACGCCAUCUAUAAUUAUGUGUAAGAAGCUCGCUUAAAGUUGCGCCAUCUAUCGUUAAUUAUUGCAACAUCGAUCUAGCUUUGCCACAGAUAAUAAAAUAUUACGUUUUUAAAAGAUUGUGUUUAUUUGCAAAAUACAUUUUAUUGAAUUAAUUAAAUGUUUAGUUGUAAUUCUCAUAAAUUACGGGAGAUACAAUAUCAAAUUUAAAAAAAAAAUAUAACCUGUAUAAAUAUCAUUUAAAACUAAAUUUGAGAACAAAAAAAAAACGCAACUUUCAAAUAACGUAGGUAGGUUAGUAACCUACCUAUGUUUGAAAAUGUUUGUUUUCGUUUGAAUUACGAGUCGAACGCGCCUUCUACGUUUUGUGUAUUGUGGCAAUUACCGUGAUUGUGGUUUACAAACUAACCCUGGACUGAAAUCGGACUUUGAUUUGGCUUCAUGAAACCUGCUUUCACGUAGCGGCACAGGAACAGUGGUUAUAAAAAAUGUCUGCACACAAUUUGUUCUUAUUAUAAUUGUACAAAUUCUUCGGAACAGAAGUCAAUGUUCCGUUUUCCGUGGGAUGACGUCAACCGCCUAAAAGUAUGGCUUGAGAAUUGCGGUAAUAUGAACAUUGCCCACUUGCCUGCAGAAAAUUUGCGGUCAAGGUAUUUAUGCAUUGACCAUUUCAAUAUCAAGUAUGUACGAAAUGAGACUGGUCAUAGAAAAAGACUCCAGAGAAGUGCAGUUCCAGAACCAUAUCAGACUCAAGACGUUCAAAAUCGCUGAAGCACUUCCUCACCAGGUUCAUCAGGUACUUUUAAAGUACUGACACCGAAAAAGGUGUACAAAAAUAAACGGCUUCGCGACUGCGAACUUGAAGAGCUCGUGGAGCCGCCAGCAGUAGCAUACCAGUGCAACACGCCGAAGAGAAGACGGUUGUCAAUUACUGAAGACACGCCAAAAUGCAAAGUGUUAAAAAAGAAAUUAGUAUUGUAUCUAACAAUAACAA